AUGAAGGUUUUUGACUCACAAGAGAUCCUGGUGGGAAAAUGGCAGAUAUUAAGCCGGAGUCAGCAGAAUAAUCUUCUCCUUUCUUGUAUCCAAAGCAGGAACCAGAGCCAGCCUCUCCAGCCCCACAGGAGCGUCAGUGUUGACCGUCCAGAGUCAAGAGAAUGGAGUGUCAAGGUCAGGAGAAGUUGGAAAGGGUGGGAGAAGGGCAGGAGGGGUGAAAGCUUUGAAAGUGGUGUCCCCAGGGGCUGUUGCCCAAAUCCUGGGCUUUGUUCUCCUGCUCCUCCCAGGGUAAGAUUCCCCAGAGAAAUCGUGGAGGGCACCCAAAUGUUAAAAAAUCCGCCCAAGGUGACCCUUUCUCAAUCUCCUGCUCUUGGAAACGCCAUGAGAAUGAGAUUGGAGGUGGAGACAGGGACUCGUUUGAUCCCCUUUAUUCAAGUCCCGAUAUACAGUGUGGUUUCCUGCAUCAGACCAAAGGCUUGUCCAGAGUGUGCCAUGUCCAUCUCACUCUCUGAGGGAGGCGGCUGGAUCCUGGACUCCCCAAUCCAGAAGAAUAACAGGAUUUUCUCUCCGUUGAAAAAAUCAGAGGAAAAGCUAAAGCCAAGGUGUCUCGUUAUGGGCAUGGAAGAAAACCACGAGUCCCUUUUCGUCACCCAGGGAGACCCGGAUGGUCCUCGGCCUCCCCUUCAGAGGCUGAACUGUUUGGAAGGAGGUGAAAGCUUGAAGCCUGUUCCCGCAGAUGCCAAGGGCCCAAAUCCCUUGGGAUGGGUGGAGGCUAAUCCAACCCUUUCUCCACGCAGAGUCUCUUGCCACCCCCACAGCCCAAAAUCACUGGCUCCCCAGUUGCACCUCCCACUAUUGCCUCCCCGCCAUGAAACCUUCACAACCCAACAUGCAGUAGUAGGUGUCAAAUCUCUGGGGGGUGUUUGGGAUAAUUCUGGGGCGUUUCAUCCCACCUCAUGCUCCUCCGGUCCUCAGAGAGGACUAGAUGGGGGUUGGCCGUGUCUGGAUCCAGGGUCAUGUCUGCUGACGGGGAGGGAAGCAGGAGAGAAGGAGAAACAAGACGUCAGAGGGAAGGUGAGGGACAUUUCUCUCCAUCUACACCUUCCUGAUUUUUUUUUUUCCAGGGAUGAAAUCUUGGGUGGACCA
rnacentral:lncRNA from 1 species